CCUACGGGUGGCAGCAGUGGGGAAUAUUGGGCAAUGGGCGCAAGCCUGACCCAGCAAUGCCGCGUGAAGGAAGAAGGCUUUCGGGUUGUAAACUUCUUUGAGCGGGGAAGAGAAGAAGACGGUACCCUGAAAAAACGCCACGGCUAACUACGUGACAGCCGCCGCGGUAAUACGUAGGUGGCAAGCGUUGUCCGGAUUUACUGGGUGUAAAGGGCGUGUAGCCGGGUAGGCAAGUCAGAUGUGAAAUCUGGAGGCUCAACCGCGACAUUGCAUUUGAAACUGUUUUGCUGGAGUACUGGAGAGGCAGACGGAAUUCCUGGUGUAGCGGUGAAAUGCGUAGAUAUAAGGAGGAACACCAGUGGCGAAGGCGGUCUGCUGGACAGCAACUGACGGUGAGGCGCGAAAGCGUGGGGAGCAAACAGGAUUAGAUACCCCGGUAGUC
rnacentral:rRNA from 1 species